GAGGGGGACCUUCGGGCCUCUCGCUUCAGGAUAUGCCCAGGUGGNAUUAGCUANNUGGUGAGGUAAUGGCUCACCAAGGCGACGAUCCCUANCUGGUCUGAGAGGAUGAUCANCCACACUGGAACUGANACACGGUCCAGACUCCUACGGGAGGCAGCAGUGGGGAAUAUUGCACAAUGGGCGCAAGCCUGAUGCAGCCAUGCCGCGUGUAUGAAGAAGGCCUUCGGGUUGUAAAGUACUUUCAGUCGUGAGGAAGGCGUUGNANUUAAUAGCUUCAUCGUUUGACGUUAGCGACAGAAGAAGCACCGGCUAACUCCGUGCCAGCAGCCGCGGUAAUACGGAGGGUGCGAGCGUUAAUCGGAAUUACUGGGCGUAAAGCGCAUGCAGGUGGUUUGUUAAGUCAGAUGUGAAAGCCCGGGGCUCAACCUCGGAACCGCAUUUGNNCUGGCAGGCUAGAGUACUGUAGAGGGGGGUAGAAUUUCAGGUGUAGCGGUGAAAUGCGUANAGAUCUGAAGGAAUACCAGUGGCGAANGCGGCCCCCUGGACAGAUACUGACACUCAGAUGCGAAAGCGUGGGGAGCAAACAGGANUA
rnacentral:rRNA from 1 species